GUGUUUUCUCACUUACCCAUGAUGCUUGCAUUAGCGGCCGUGGAGUGCAAAUCAAUUUCUUCCUGAAGACUUUCAAGUGCUGUGCUGGACUUCACGUGGGCUUUGGUUGGCUGAUUCCUGGUCCUGAACAACCAACAUACUCUCUAGCAAUGUUUGAUAAGUGAAGAAAGAAUUCAACAAGAUCGCAGUGUGGACUAGAAGGAAAACAAACAUCAUGAGCUAUACUACAUACCUGUGUAACCUUGAAGACAAUUACAGAUUACAUCUG